UCCACGCCGUAAACGAUGAUCACUCGUUGUGUGCGAUAUAUUGUACGUGACUGAGCGAAAGCAUUAAGUGAUCCACCUGGGGAGUACGUCGGCAACGAUGAAACUCAAAGGAAUUGACGGGGGCCCGCACAAGCGGAGGAACAUGUGGUUUAAUUCGAUGAUACGCGAGGAACCUUACCUGGGCUUAAAUGUAGCGUGACUUUUCUGGAAACAGAAUUUCCCUUCGGGGCAAGUUACAAGGUGCUGCAUGGCUGUCGUCAGCUCGUGCCGUGAGGUGUCGGGUUAAGUCCCAUAACGAGCGCAACCCUCAUCGUUAGUUGCCAGCGGGUAAUGCCGGGGACUCUAGCGAAACUGCCACCGUAAGGUGAGAGGA
rnacentral:rRNA from 1 species